ACCACACACUGCACCAAUAUUAUUAUAAUAAUAUGUACUAUCACAAACAAUACAUUAUUGAUGUUUAAAACAUAUUAUAAAAAGGACCUACAUACAUAAAACGGAUUCCUGUAGAAAUAUCUAUAUUAUAUUCAUAUAAUAUCGUUGACUAGGAUUUCCGUAGGUACCUUCCUAUGCGAUAAAGAGGAUUUCGAAUUCACAUGGUAUACAUGACUGACUAAACUCGCGAAUAAUUUCUACUUGUUUGGUUUGUUAUAUAAAAAAACAAUAUUUACCUACAUACCUAUGCCUACCUGUAGAUAAGGCAAAGGAAAUGAUAAACUAGAAACUAGAAAAUUGUUAUAAGUACCUGUACAAAACAUUGACAUAUCUUCAUUUGCAUUAUUGCACAAUCGAGAGUAAACGCAGAAAACAUUUCAGGAUGGAGGGAGGGGCAAAAUAUAUCUACCACGAUCUUUGCGUAUUGCUAUAAAUCUGCAAAUUAUUUAAAAUUUAAAUACAAAUUAAGAUGUAAUUUAUACUUCGGAGGGGUAUUUGAACCCUCAAAAAACCCUUGCGUUCGCCACUGUUCGCAAUCCAUUUACACGAAUAUAAUGUUUAUUUAUGGUUUUUUUUUUUUUUAUUAUUCCAUGCAUCAUCGUGGUUAGGUUUUAUUUUAAGUGACUGAGCACAGAUUAAAGAGUUUAUAAAUAUAUAUAUAUAUAUAUAGAUUUUCGAUUUAUAGUUUUUAGAAUCGUCAACGAAUAUUAUUCCGCAUAAUCUCUAAAGGCAAAUUCAGAUUAUAGAGAGCUUAUUGGGUCCCUCCAAAACCAUGACUAGCUCUAGAAAAAUGUAUUCUGCUUAAGCAUUUCUAAUUUUUUGACUCUGUUUCUGAUUAUGACAUACUUUAGUUCUUGACUUUAAAAAUAAAUAUGAAAAUCGAUUUUAUUUUCCAUCGUUACAAUUUUUGAUUUUAAUUACUAUUUCUCAUAAAUGAACUGUAUAAUAUUUUAUCUUCGAUAUUUUAUAAUGUCCUUAUGAUGUAUACUUCAACUUUAUACAAACAUUGAUAAUAUUAUAUUAUGCUAUUAUAAGAACCCUGCUUAGUAAAUUUUUUGUUUUUAUUUGUUCGCUAAUGGGAGUGAACAUUUACACUCAGUAAUCCCGCAUCCCACGGAUCCGCUCUUAAAUAGCUACUCUAAAUAAGGAACACAAAAAAAAAUAAUGCCUUAUCUUGGGACAAACGUUGCAAAAACUAAAAAAAUAUAAACACAGUAGGUAUAGUUUAGGUACUUAUUAUAGGUGUACCUAGAUGUACCAAUUAUCUAUACCUAAUAUGAUAUUAUUUGAACGUUUCGACACAUUCGAAUUAUAUUUAAAUUUCUGUUUUAAAAUACUGUAGGUACCCACCGCAAAAUAGCUGGUCUUUUUACGGAAGCUAACGGUCCAAAGUUUUGAUUUUAAAUCUAGGUAUUAUAAUAUUUUAUACACGUGUCCUAUCCUCCCUCUGUCCCUCUACAAUAUUAUAAUGUGCGCGCAGUGCCUUAAAGGGAAAUAUGAAAUUUUUUUAUUCUGCCCUAUAACCCUUAGGUAUCCUAUUCAAUGUUAACAUAUCCACACUUUGUUACCUAUAUAAAAAUAUAAUAUAAUAUUAUUAUAACAUAUAAUUAUAUAACAUUAUAUAACUCGAUUUUGUUAAUGUAUUAUCAAUAUUAUUAUUAUAGAAUGGGUUAUUCGUUUGGAAAUAAUGUAUACAAAAUAAAAUGAUUUUAUUGCUCUGCCGACAGUACCAUCAUAUUUGUUUAUAAUAUUAUGAUAAGUUUAAGCAGUAAUAAAGACAAUUUUCAACAUUUUGCAUAAAUAUUAUUAUUAUUAAAUCAUUUAUUUUUUUUUUUGUGUUCGGUUUUUUUUUUUUUCAUCACGAAUACAACCAAAAGG